ensembl:lncRNA
GAAACUCAUCAUUUUUAAGUGGUCUUAUUUUUUGUGCUCAAACGUUUGACCGCGCAUAAACCUAUGAUGAAGGGUCUCGCCCUGUGUGUGUGUGUUUGUGUGUGUGUGUGUGUGAGUGAGUGAGUGAGCGAGCGAGCGAGUUCUCCUGUUGUCCCACAGGGGGCGCCUCCAACACAGCUGCUCCUCAACAAAGCACACACGACAGGAAACGACAGCGCAGCUACAUCUAAAGGUGCCCCGUGGUGUACCCUGCCUUUCUGCGCUCGUCUGGGCGGAAAGCAAAACAGCGGCAUCAACCCCCACCGGCUGGACGCUCCCACACACACUCUUGCUGUCUCCACACACACACUUAAACACACACACACACUCAAACGGAUCUGGCUGCACCAAAGUCUCAGCAUACAGCUGCACCAGGACCCUCCUGUCAGCUCUGAAACGAGUCAAUGAUGGACAAACGCAGGAGAAAGGACAGUUCAGCUGGACAUGAGCUCAAACACACACCAUCCUAACUGCCAACAGACGCGUGAUAGAUGUGUCUGUGUGUGAGUGUGUAUGUUAGGGCUGUCACUGUUAUUUCUGUUGGCAAAAAAGUAAAUAAUCAAAUCCUAAAGGCUUCUUACAUAACACUGUACCAUAAAAAUAGACUGUUGUUUUGAUAUGGACGUAGUUCAGUCAUAUUCUCUCAUAUAAUCAAACACAUUAUAGAAAUUAAAUAUAUUUUAUCUAAGUUUUGCAGUCUUUACAGAAGAGUGUUCACUGACAGAGUGAAGGUGUGAGUUGUAUGUCAGGAGUUUAAAGCUUACACUACACACCAGAUUACCUUUAACAACUUGAACACUUGUUUGUAGGCUAAUCACAUUUGGCUAAUCAUGCUGUCUUUAGUGCUUUAGAAGAGUUUUGUUUGUUGUCAUAGUUUCACUUGCAGAACUCAACGAAACUAAGAGUGACGUUACCAGAAAUGUUAGCAGCUGGGAUAAUAACACCCACAGCUCAUAUCUAGUAGCCAAGCUAAAAAAAGUCCAGUCAGAAUUUGGGCCUACCAUAAACCAGGCUAAGCUAGCCCCAUCAGUUAGCAACUAAUUUAGCCUGGAGUUGUUGAUCAAACCGGAAUAACGUCUGUUCAUGCAUUUCUGCUGUUGUAAGCUAAUGGAAGUUAAAUGUUUUGCUAUGGCAGCUGAUAAUUUAAAGUGAUUUAAAUUUCUGUAUGUGGGUUUUUGGAAAUUCCUCACUCGUAAUCACUUAUAUUGGCUGAGAACACUUGCACAUUUUGGGGAAAUACUGAAUAAGCUAGGCUAGAUACUGGCUGUUUCUCACUGGGUAGUAAAUAGUUCAUGGUAGUUAUGGAAUAAUUUAUAUUAGACAGAUACUUAUUAUUUCAUACUAGCUACUAAAUUAUUUACAGCAAUUGCUAAAUAAUGCAGCUUUCACACUUGAUACAGAAUAAUUCACACUGGACACUAUAAUUCACAUUAAAUGUAAUCAGUAUAUCCAUCAUACUAAAUGCAUAAUUAUUUGUACUAGAUACUGAAUAAAUCACACUGGAUGCUGAUUAAUGCA